AGAACGAACGCUGGCGGCAGGCUUAACACAUGCAAGUCGAACGCUCGUGAGCGAUCACGGGAGUGGCAGACGGGUGAGUAACGCGUGGGAACAUACCCUUUGGUUCGGGAUAACUCAGGGAAACUUGAGCUAAUACCGGAUACGCCCCUGGAUGAAAGUUUGGGGGGAAAGAUUGAUUGCCGGAGGAUUGGCCCGCGUUCGAUUAGCUAGUUGGUGAGGUAACGGCUCACCAAGGCGACGAUCGAUAGCUGGUCUGAGAGGAUGAUCAGCCACAUUGGGACUGAGACACGGCCCAAACUCCUACGGGAGGCAGCAGUGGGGAAUAUUGGACAAUGGGCGCAAGCCUGAUCCAGCCAUGCCGCGUGAGUGAUGACGGCCUUAGGGUUGUAAAGCUCUUUCGCUCGGGACGAUAAUGACGGUACCGAGAUAAGAAGCCCCGGCUAACUCGUGCCAGCAGCCGC
rnacentral:rRNA from 1 species